rnacentral:rRNA from 1 species
ACUUAGUGGCAAACGGGUGAGUAUGAUGUGGGUAUCUGCCCUUUGGUAUGGAAUAACACGAGGAAACUUGUGCUAAUACUGUAUAAGCCUUCACAGGGAAAGCUUUAUGCGCCAAAGGAUGAGCCCGCACUUGAUUAGCUAGUUGGUAAGGUAAAAGCUUACCAAGGCAACGAUCAAUAGCUGAUCUGAGAGGAUGAUCAGCCACAUUGGGACUGAGACACGGCCCAAACUCNUACGGGAGGCAGCAGUGGGGAAUCUUGCACAAUGGGGGAAACCCUGAUGCAGCGAUGCCGCGUGAGUGAAGAAGGCCUUUGGGUUGUAAAGCUCUUUCGUCGGGGAAGAAAAUGACUGUACCCGAAUAAGAAGGUCCGGCUAACUUCGUGCCAGCAGCCGCGGUAAUACGAAGGGACCUAGCGUAGUUCGGAAUUACUGGGCUUAAAGAGCUCGUAGGUGGUUAGAAAAGUUAGUGGUGAAAUCCCAAGGCUUAACCUUGGAACUGCCACUAAAACUUUUUAACUAGAGUGUGAUAGAGGUAAGCGGAAUUUCUAGUGUAGAGGUGAAAUUCGUAGAUAUUAGAAAGAACACCAAUUGCGAAGGCAGCUUUCUGGAUCAUUACUGACACUGAGGAGCGAAAGCAUGGGUAGCGAAGAGGAUUAGAUACCCUCGUAGUCCAUGCCGUAAACGAUGUGUGCUAGACGUUGGAAAUUUAUUUUUCAGUGUCGCAGCAAAAGCGUUAAGCACACCGCCUGGGGAGUACGACCGCAAGGUUAAACU